CCUACGGGAGGCAGCAGUAAGGAAUCUUCCACAAUGGACGAAAGUCUGAUGGAGCAACGCCGCGUGCAGGAUGAAGGCUUUUCGGGUCGUAAACUGCUUUUAUAUGGGAAGAUUAUGACGGUACCAUAUGAAUAAGGACCGGCUAACUACGUGCCAGCAGCCGCGGUAAUACGUAGGGUCCAAGCGAUAUCCGGAAUUACUGGGCGUAAAGCGUGUGUAGGUGGAUUAAUAAGUGUGAUGCGAAAUCCGGCGGCUCAACCGUUUGGACUGUGUCGCAUACUGUUAGUCUAGAGGACGGCAGAGGUAAGUGGAAUUACGGGUGUAGCAGUGAAAUGCGUAGAUAUCCGUAGGAACACCAAUGGCGAAGGCAGCUUACUGGGACCACACCUGACACUGAGACACGAAACGCGUGGGGAGCGAACAGGAUUAGAUACCCUGGUAGUCCACGCCGUAAACGAUGCAUACUAUUAGUAUGGGGUAUCGACCCCCUGUGCUGAGAAGCUAACGCGAUAAGUAUGCCGCCGNGGAGUAGAGCGCGAGAACGUAAACGUUAAAGUUAAGUUAGUAGNGUUGAGAGNGCGAGGACGACGACGAGGAGAGG
rnacentral:rRNA from 1 species